CUAUUCCCAAGAAUCCUCAACCAAAAGAUAACCAUAACCAUCCAAAAGGUAUAAUCUACUACACAACAAUCCUCUCAAUAAAAAAACAAUCCGCUUUUCAAUCCUUUCUCUCUUCUCUAGACAUUAUCUUUCACACAUAUUCAUCCAACAAAAGACCAAGAAAUCCACAAUAAUUCAAGAUCUCUCAUACACAAGAACACCGCCCA
rnacentral:lncRNA from 1 species